rnacentral:rRNA from 1 species
GACGAACGCUGGCGGCGUGCCUAAUACAUGCAAGUAGAACGCUGAAGGAGUAGCUUGCUUCUCUGGAUGAGUUGCGAACGGGUGAGUAACGCGUAGGUAACCUGCCUGGUAGCGGGGGAUAACUAUUGGAAACGAUAGCUAAUACCGCAUAAUAGUAGAUGUUGCAUGACAUUUGCUUAAAAGGUGCAAUUGCAUCACUACCAGAUGGACCUGCGUUGUAUUAGCUAGUUGGUGGGGUAACGGCUCACCAAGGCGACGAUACAUAGCCGACCUGAGAGGGUGAUCGGCCACACUGGGACUGAGACACGGCCCAGACUCCUACGGGAGGCAGCAGUAGGGAAUCUUCGGCAAUGGACGGAAGUCUGACCGAGCAACGCCGCGUGAGUGAAGAAGGGUUUCGGAUCGUAAAGCUCUGUUGUAAGAGAAGAACGAGUGUGAGAGUGGAAAGUUCACACUGUGACGGUAUCUUACCAGAAAGGGACGGCUAACUACGUG